rnacentral:rRNA from 1 species
GUGGGGAAUCUUCCACAAUGGACGAAAGUCUGAUGGAGCAACGCCGCGUGAGUGAAGAAGGGUUUCGGCUCGUAAAGCUCUGUUGUCGGGGACGAAUGUGCAGUAUUUGAAUAAAGUACUGUAAUGACGGUACCUGACGAGGAAGCCACGGCUAACUACGUGCCAGCAGCCGCGGUAAUACGUAGGUGGCAAGCGUUGUCCGGAAUUAUUGGGCGUAAAGGGAGCGCAGGCGGGAAGGUAAGUCGGUCUUAAAAGUGCGAGGCUCAACCCCGUGAUGGGAUCGAAACUAUCUUUCUUGAGUGCAGGAGAGGAAAGUGGAAUUCCUAGUGUAGCGGUGAAAUGCGUAGAUAUUAGGAGGAACACCAGUGGCGAAGGCGACUUUCUGGACUGUAACUGACGCUGAGGCUCGAAAGCCAGGGGAGCGAACGGGAUUAGAUACCCUGGUAGUCC